rnacentral:rRNA from 1 species
UACAGAGGGUGCAAGCGUUAAUCGGAUUUACUGGGCGCAAAGCGCGCGUAGGCGGCUAAUUAAGUCAAAUGUGAAAUCCCCGAGCUUAACUUGGGAAUUGCAUUCGAUACUGGUUAGCUAGAGUGUGGGAGAGGAUGGUAGAAUUCCAGGUGUAGCGGUGAAAUGCGUAGAGAUCUGGAGGAAUACCGAUGGCGAAGGCAGCCAUCUGGCCUAACACUGACGCUGAGGUGCGAAAGCAUGGGGAGCAAACAGG